GAUGAACGCUAGCGGGAGGCCUAACACAUGCAAGCCGAGCGGUAUUGUUUCUUCGGAAAUGAGAGAGCGGCGUACGGGUGCGGAACACGUGUGCAACCUGCCUUUAUCUGGGGGAUAGCCUUUCGAAAGGAAGAUUAAUACUCCAUAAUAUAUUGAACGGCAUCGUUUAAUAUUGAAAGCUCCGGCGGAUAGAGAUGGGCACGCGCAAGAUUAGCUAGUUGGUGAGGUAACGGCUCACCAAGGCGAUGAUCUUUAGGGGGCCUGAGAGGGUGAUCCCCCACACUGGUACUGAGACACGGACCAGACUCCUACGGGAGGCAGCAGUGAGGAAUAUUGGUCAAUGGGUGCAAGCCUGAACCAGCCAUCCCGCGUGAAGGACGACUGCCCUAUGGGUUGUAAACUUCUUUUGUAUAGGGAUAAACCUACCCUCGUGAGGGUAGCUGAAGGUACUAUACGAAUAAGCACCGGCUAACUCCG
rnacentral:rRNA from 1 species